UUACGGCCACAUCACAUUUAAAAUACUGUUUCCUGUACAGUACUCGAAGUUAAGCAACGUCGAGCUUGGUCAGUACCUAGAUGGGUGACUGCUUGGGAAUACCAGGUACUGUAAG